GACAGAGGUGCCGAGCGUUAGGCGGAAUCACUGGGCUUAAAGCGUGUGUAGGCGGACUUCUAAGUACCUUGUGAAAUCCCACGGCUCACCCGUGGAACUGCUCGGUAUACUGGUCUCUUGAGCCUUCUAGGGGCGAGUGGAACAAAUGGUGGAGCGGUGAAAUGCGUAGAUAUCAUUUGGAACGCCAAUGGUGAAAAACAACUCGCUGGGGGAAGUGCUGACGCUGAGACACGAAAGCCAGGGGGAGCGAACGGGG
rnacentral:rRNA from 1 species